rnacentral:rRNA from 1 species
UACGUAGGGUGCGAGCGUUGUCCGGAAUUACUGGGCGUAAAGAGCUCGUAGGUGGUUUGUCGCGUUGUUCGUGAAAACUCACAGCUUAACUGUGGGCGUGCGGGCGAUACGGGCAGACUGGAGUACUGCAGGGGAGACUGGAAGUUCCUGGUGUAGCGGUGGAAUGCGCAGAUAUCAGGAGGAACACCGGUGGCGAAGGGCGGGUCUCCGUGGGCAGUGAACUGACGCUGAGGAGCGAAAAGCGUGGGGAGCGAAC